UCCUCCCUCUUUCUUCGUGCUUAACACAUGCAAGUCGAACGGAAAGGCCCUGCUUUUGUGGGGUGCUCGAGUGGCGAACGGGUGAGUAACACGUGAGUAACCUGCCCUUGACUUUGGGAUAACUUCAGGAAACUGGGGCUAAUACCGGAUAGGAGCUCCUGCUGCAUGGUGGGGGUUGGAAAGUUUCGGCGGUUGGGGAUGGACUCGCGGCUUAUCAGCUUGUUGGUGGGGUAGUGGCUUACCAAGGCUUUGACGGGUAGCCGGCCUGAGAGGGUGACCGGCCACAUUGGGACUGAGAUACGGCCCAGGCUCCUACGGGAGGCAGCAGUGGGGAAUAUUGCACAAUGGGCGGAAGCCUGAUGCAGCAACGCCGCGUGCGGGAUGACGGCCUUCGGGUUGUAAACCGCUUUCGCCUGUGACGAAGCGUGAGUGACGGUAAUGGGUAAAGAAGCACCGGCUAACUACGUG
rnacentral:rRNA from 1 species